GCAAUGGGCGAAAGCCUGACGGAGCAACGCCGCGUGAGGGAUGAAGGCCUCUGGGCUGUAAACCUCUUUUCUCAAGGAAGAAGAUCUGACGGUACUUGAGGAAUAAGCCUCGGCUAAUUCCGUGCCAGCAGCCGCGGUAAUACGGGAGUGGCAAGCGUUAUCCGGAAUUAUUGGGCGUAAAGCGUCCGCAGGCGGUCCUUGCAAGUCUGUCGUUAAAGCGUGGAGCUUAACUCCAUUUCAGCGGUGGAAACUGCCAGACUAGAGAAUGGU
rnacentral:rRNA from 1 species